GACAGAGGAUGCAAGCGUUAUCCGGAAUGAUUGGGCGUAAAGCGUGUGUAGGUGGCUUUUUAAGUUCGCCGUCAAAUCCCAGGGCUCAACCCUGGACAGGUGGUGGAAACUACCAAGCUAGAGUACGGUAGGGGCAGAGGGAAUUUCCGGUGGAGCGAUGAAAUGCGUAGAGAUCGGAAGGAACACCCAAGGCGAAAGCACUCUGCUGGGCCGACACUGACACUGAGAGACGAAAGCUAGGGGAGCAAAUGGG
rnacentral:rRNA from 1 species